rnacentral:tRNA from 31 species
GGAGGGGUUCCCGAGUGGCCAAAGGGAUCAGACUGUAAAUCUGACGGCAUCGCCUUCGCAGGUUCGAAUCCUGCCCCCUCCACCA